GUCUCGGUAGUGUAAGGGUGGUGAGUAUCCGCGUCUGUCACAUGCGAGACCCGGGUUCAAUUCCCGGCCGGGGAG